AGGGUCACAGCUAUAAGGAAUUGGCCUUGAGUCUCAGGUGAAACUUUGAAUAUUGGACAUUUGAGUUGAUGCUGGAACAAGAUAAGAGUUUUGAAGACUAUGAGAUGGAAUAACUACACUCAACACUAAAAGGACUAAGACACUGGCUCUUCAAGGGGGAAAAAGAUUAUCCUGGCUAUCACCAACAUUCCAGGAUGAAGAAAUCUGGUAAUAUAUUCAGGCUACUGGAAUGCCCUCCAGUACAGCAGUGAAUGCCAGUGGAAUGCAAUUCUUUUGCUUUAGAAGAUAAACUUUUAGCAAUGUCAAGUUUCCAGGUACAACUGAGAGAUAUUUAACACAUUAAUAUUUCCACCAAGAUGGGGAAAAUUUCCUAGAGCUCAUUUCUUUUGACAGCAGAGAAGUAUCCAAGUUAUUCUAGAAAAUAAAGCAUAGUUUUCCUCAAGUCCUAUAUUACAUGAGACUACUGUCUCCAAAAAUUAAAUUCCCACAACAACCUAGAAAGUUUGGAGAUCUCUAUUUGAUUUUUCCGUCUUGCUAAAUAUUCUUCAAAACAAAUAUUAGUUGUCCCUGUCACUCAGAAUGAAGAAAAACGGUGUUAAUGAGGACCUGGAGAAGUAAACUGACUACUGCUUUUCCAGACUCCAGAACUAUAACAAAUAAAUUUCUGUUGUUUAUAAGCUACCCAGAUUAUGGGGUUUUGCUGUAGCAGCCCAGGUGGACUAAGGCAAGGUUACUUUUAGCUUUUUACAUAUGUGUUUGUGUAUAUGUAUCUGUGAGAUAGAAAAAAGCUAUUAUUCAUCAUAGAGUUAAAAUAUAUUAAGAAUUUAAACUUUUCUACAAAAAUUUAAUUCAAGUUUUAGUGAGAAAGUAAAGUAAAAUGAAUGUAUAUAAAACAACUCCUCAUAGAGGACAUCUGUUCUGGCAGGUGAGAAACUGAUACCUAUGUGCUGCUCGGAGAAGGUAAGUGUAACUGGCAUGCUCAGUAGCAUCUUCAUAUACUUUUGGAGAAAGCUCAUCAAACCAAAGUAUGGCUUACCGACUAAGGCCAUUGCUUGCGAUCCUGCCUUAUUUAUCUUCUUUGUGUUGUUGCUCUUCCAGGUAACCCUCUCCUUUUCAUUAUUAGGUUUUUAUUUUCCAUCUCUGUGUUCCUCAGUAGAUAAGAAAGCAGAAAUGAGCUGGAAUCCAAUCUUUACAGACUUUUCUACUGAAAAUACGUAAGUAUCCUCCAAUACUAUGUGUUAUAUAAAAAAUUACUAACCAUAAAAUAAUUGUCAUGAAAACCCAACCUUCCUAUUAAGUGAUAGUUUUACCAAAGCAUCAAAAAUACAUUUAUUUACAAUAAAAUGCUUGAUCUUUAUGCAUGCAUGCAGGCCAACUACUGGAUCUCCAAUCAGUGACCAUGAAUAAUACUUUUGUUUUUUGGCCUUGAACCUAUUGCAUAUGUUCUAGCCACUGCCUCUUUCCGGUGGAAAUACUGAUUUUCUCAUGAAAAACAAACAGCUCUUCAAUGAGGAAAUGUUAUGUGCCUCAUUAAGAAAUACUUUGGUCUGAAUGUUUGUGACCCCACCAAAUUUAUGGGUUCAAAUCCUAACCCCCAAGGUGAUGAUAAAAGGAGAUGGAGAUUUGGGGGAGGUGAUUUGGUAAUGAAAAUGGAACCCUCAUGAAGGGAAUUAGUAUCCUUAUGAAUGAGGAAUCAGAGAACUAACUUGUCCCUUUCACUAGACAAGCAAACAGCAAGAAGACGCCUUCUAGGAAUCAUGAAAUGGAUCCUCAUCAGACACUUCAUUGGCAGAUGUCUUGAUCUUGGACUUCCCAGCCUCCAGAACUAUAAAAAAUAAAUUUCUGUUGUUUAUAA